CAAUGCACACGGCCCCCAGCAGAGAGUGCACACAGCCCCAAGAGGCCUAGACUCAGAGGCUGCAUGUGGCUGAUCCUUGAAGGAGAGAGGGACAGAGAGGGAGAGAGACACAGUGGUGGUGGACUAUCAAGUGAAGCCUCCCAGAACGCCCUCUGCUCGGAUCGCCUGGCCAGCGGACCAGCUUAGGAGUCAACUUGGGAAGAUCAAAGAAUAUGAACUGCCUUCUGCUCGCCUUAUCAUCCUGCCUGGGACUAAACACACCACUCCAGAUGGCUAAUGAAGAAGUUAAUGAAACCAGACCUGCCCCGGUCCCUGUGUAAGCAGAGUCUGAAGGAAUGCAACCCUACAGCUAGCUGGCACGGGAGAGAACUCCCAGGUGGGCUGUGAUGUCUGUAUUUUGCAUGCUGGAGGGCAAACCACAUCUUCCAAAGGCAGACGUCAAAGAGACAGAAAUACAAGAAGAAAAAGUUUUGUUUUGUUUUGUAAUGAAUUGGAAAACGUUCCUUGCUUGUUCACAUCUGAGGUCUACUAGCAACACACUGAACAAUUUGCUAGGCCAGUUUAUGGUUUUGCCUGAAGCAAGGCAGCUCCCAGAAUUCCACCCUGUUAGAAGCUCUGUCUAGGGCAGUCUAUUUCCAGUCACUCCUGACCUCACGUUAAGGGAAUCAGUCCCUGCCCCCUCUCCAUUAC